CUAGAACUACCUGAAGGAAUGCAGCCGCAUCAACACCACACUGUUUGCCUAGUGAAAUCCAUCUAGGAGUCUGACCUAAAGAACUGUAAGGAGUAGAGUCUCCCAGACAGAAUAAGCCCCAGAACUACGUGGGAAGAAGGCCUUGUUACAUAACAGGAAGCCUCAGUCCUGGUGCCGCCGGCCUCAGCUUUGGGCGUGAGAUGGAAGGCGGUCCGUGCUGGCCGACAGGCCCUCUCUGAACAGCUCUAGCAUCCCACACCCAUUGGAAACAUGUUCAGUCACACAUAUCCACAGCUGGAAAGAACCUCGGCCCCACCCUCAGAAACAGGUGCUGCCGAUACCUGGAUCUGCUGGACCAUGUUGCGGAGCUGCACCAGAAACUCCUUGGCUUCUUUGGCCCUGUCUGACAGCCCG